ACAUGAGCAGGGAAGCUUGUACCAACCCUAAGCCACAUCCUUCUUUCUAAAUAUCGUCCCUGUGACACAAUGACCCUCCCCAGUUUAUCACUCAUUUAUUUAUACUCUCAUCCAACAGGUGCUUAUUGAGCACCUAUUACCUGACAGACAUUUCUAAACAGAUAUGUACUGGUCAGGCUAUCCAUUUAAGGAAGGUUACAAUUGAUCUGGGGUUUAAAGAAAAAAAAUAGGAAUUCUCCAGAAAGGUAAGAGAUAAGAUGUUCGAGACAGAGCAAAUAAUCUCAGGGCAAACGUGUCUUGAGUGCCUCAUUUACUUAUUCAAAUUCCUGCCUGCCCCUAGAUUUUCAUCUAAAAAUAAAUACAUUAAAAUUCCUUGUUUAGUUAGAUCUUCAACUAUUUAAAAAUCUAUUUUUCAAAAACAUUGAAGAUGGGUUUUUUUGUUCAGAAUUUUUAGUGGUUCUCAGUAAAAGGGUUGGUAUGACUACUUGGUUCUGCCAUAUUAUCAGAAAAAUGAAUCUUCAUUCUAUUUCAUUUGUUCCUGCUAGUAUCUUUGAUAUUUGUUCUCUUUAUUUCAUGAUGUAUUUCUUUUUUUUAAUAUAGAAUUAUAUUUAUUAAUAUGAAAAGAUAUUCCUAUCAAGACACCACUGGCCUGUAAUAACUAGCAGAGACAGUAUGCCUACUGAAAGUGUAGAGUUUUAGGCAAGCAGCCCUGUGUUAAGCAGAAAACUGGGGCAGGCCUGCAGGAGCAGGCAGCAGCCUCUAGCAAAGUGGGAUGGAAUCUGGUGAAGGAGUAAUUGUGAGAGCGCCCAAUGGGAACAGCAUCUUCUGUAAGCAUAUGUGGAAUACCUCAUUAUAGUUCCUUAUUUCUUUUUUUCUAAUUUCAUGAUUUAGAACAAUUCACCAAUCUAUCAAUCUUCCUUAUAUGAGAUGAAAAUAGUUAAGGCUAUAAAUUUCUUUCAGAGUACAGCUUUAGCCUAUAUUCUUUAAAUUUUUGUAUAUGAAAACUUCAUUUUUAUAUAUUUUCAUAUGGCUUGUAAUUUACACAGUGAUUUUUCUCUUUAAUUCAUGAAUUAUUUAGAAAUUAUGUUUAGUUUCUGAAUAUAAGGUAGGGAGGUAGCUAUCUUUAUUUCUUUUCUUAAUUUAUUUGCAUUAUGACUAGAAAUAUGGUUUCUGAUAUUAAUUCUUUGAAAUUUUAUCUGUGACCCAGUAAAUUACUAAGUUUUGUUUGUAGUCUAUAUUUUCUU